UAUCAAAAAUUCUGGUUCAGUUUCCCUCCAAAGUACAUAUACAUGCAGUUUCCAUGAGGUGUUGGGAUUUCUAGGAGCUCCUAAGCUACACAGUGAAGUGAUUUAUUCUAACCUCUUACAGAGUUAUGAGAGGAGGAUCUGUCCACAGUCACAUAGUGUAAAGGACCAGGUUAAAGCCUCGGUUUCUACUUCCACUGUUAGGCAGGGUUUCAAGUUACUAUUUAAAUUUGUAAAUCAAUGCACAGCAAACACUUAGUCAAACCUUUUUAAUGUUUAAAUUUUUAUUUUUAAAUUAUUGCCAACAAUGUUAGAAGCCUAAUAUAUAUUUGAUAUUUGAGUGUCCUUACACCUUUUUUUAUGUGGUUAACUUAUUGGCAAGAUUUAUUACAUAUUGCAUAAUGUAAAGAAAUACAGAUGACCCUUCAAUAUUAUCCAAAUACCUUAAUAGCAAAUCUGCUUAAAAUUCAGCCUUCAAAUGCUUUAAUUGUAAACUUGUUAAAUAACCACAAAACACAUUAAAACCUGUUCUUUUUAGGGCUGGGGAUACAGUUCAGUUGUAUGGCCCUUGUCAAGCAUGUGAGAAGCCUAGCACUGCAAAUAUAUGUAUGAGAGAAGGGGUGUGUGUAUGUGUACAUAUAUAUGAAUAUUCAUAGGUGUGGUUUAUUUAAAAUACAUGCAUAAAUGUUGCUGUAUAGGUGUCCUAAUUAAGUCACAGUGUGCAUUGAUGGCCAUAGUAGAACCUUUUUUAUAGAGGUUACACUGACUACGUUGCUGAGACGGGCCUCUGUCUCCUUUCUCUGCUCAUACCAUCUUCAUGCCUCAGCCUCUGCAUGCUACUGCAUUUUCCUAUGUAGUGCACAUUAACUCUUAAUAAAUGAUGCUGUAGGGCUGGUGAGAUGGCUCAAUGGAAAAGAGCACUGACUGCUCUUCCAAAGGUCCUGAGUUCAAAUCCUAGCAACCACAUGAUGGCUCACAGAUGGUUAUCUGUAAUGAGAUCUGAUGCCCUCUUCUGGUGUGUCUAAAGACAGCUACAGUGUACUUACGUAUAACAAUAAAUAAAUGUUUAAAAGGAUGCUGUAAAGCCCAGCACUGUGAUC
rnacentral:lncRNA from 1 species